rnacentral:lncRNA from 1 species
UGAAACUUAAUCAAAUAUUGUUUAAUUUUGGGAAUUCAAUAUUCAUGCAAUUUCAUAUUUAAUUCUCAUAUUAUUUUGUUAUUGAAAUCUACGUUGAUUUUUUAUUGUAAAAUAAUUAUUUGUUAGUUUGAAUAAUUUAAGUCCGUAAUUGCUUGGGUUAUUCUUACAUGACAACACUUGGGAUAAAACCCAAGGAAAUUGUUUGAUCUAGCGUUAUCUCCA